UACGUAGGGGGCGAGCGUUAUCCGGAAUUACUGGGUGUAAAGGGAGCGUAGACGGCGAAGUAAGCCUGAAGUGGAAGCCCGCGGCCCAACCGCGGAACUGCUUUGGGAACUGCUUAGCUGGAGUAUGGGAGGGGUAAGCGGAAUUCCUGGUGUAGCGGUGAAAUGCGUAGAUAUCAGGAGGAACACCGGUGGCGAAGGCGGCUUACUGGACCAUGACUGACGUUGAGGCUCGAAAGUGUGGGGAGCGAACAGG
rnacentral:rRNA from 1 species